rnacentral:rRNA from 1 species
AUUGAACGCUGGCGGCAUGCCUUACACAUGCAAGUCGAACGGCAGCACGGGAGCAAUCCUGGUGGCGAGUGGCGAACGGGUGAGUAAUGUAUCGGAACGUGCCCAGUCGUGGGGGAUAACGUAGCGAAAGCUACGCUAAUACCGCAUACGAUCUAUGGAUGAAAGCGGGGGACCGUAAGGCCUCGCGCGAUUGGAGCGGCCGAUAUCAGAUUAGGUAGUUGGUGGGGUAAAGGCCUACCAAGCCGACGAUCUGUAGCUGGUCUGAGAGGACGACCAGCCACACUGGGACUGAGACACGGCACAGACUCCUACGGGAGGCAGCAGUGGGGAAUUUUGGACAAUGGGCGCAAGCCUGAUCCAGCAAUGCCGCGUGCAGGAUGAAGGCCUUCGGGUUGUAAACUGCUUUUGUACGGAGCGAAAAGGCUCUCUCUAAUACAGGGGGCUCAUGACGGUACCGUAAGAAUAAGCACCGGCUAACUACGUGCCAGCCGCCGCAGUAAUAC